rnacentral:rRNA from 1 species
ACUCAAAGGAAUAGACGGGGGCCCGCACAAGCGGUGGAUCAUGUGGUUUAAUUCGAAGCAACGCGCAGAACCUUACCUGGGUUUGAAAUCCUACGAAUCCUGCAGAGAUGUGGGAGUGCCCUUCGGGGAAUGUAGUGACAGGUGCUGCAUGGCUGUCGUCAGCUCGUGUUGUGAAAUGUUGGGUUAAGUCUCGCAACGAGCGCAACCCCUGUCUUUAGUUGCCAGCAUUAAGUUGGGCACUCUAAAGAGACUGCCAGGGUUAACCUGGAGGAAGGUGGGGAUGACGUCAAGUCCUCAUGGCCCUUAUGUCCAGGGCUACACACGUGAUACAAUGGUUAGUAUAAAGGGAAGCAAACCUGCGAGGGGGAGCUAAUCUCAAAAAGCUAAUCUCAGUCCGGAUUGGAGUCUGCAACUCGACUCCAUGAAGUUGGAAUCGCUAGUAAUCGCAGAUCAGCACGCUGCGGUGAAUACGUUCCCGGGCCUUGCACACACCGCCCGU